rnacentral:snRNA from 1 species
GUGCUGACUUCAGCAGCACAUAUACUAAAAUUGGAACAAUACAGAGAAGAUUAGCAAGGCCCCUGUGCAAGGAUGACAUGCAAAUUCCUGAAGCGUUCCAUAUUUUU